CAUAUAUGGGGGAAAUGCAGACACAUGUCUACUCACCCCAGAUAUGAAACUGACAACAGACCAAAAUAAGGAUACCAACAUGGUCAACUUGGCAACUAGUUAAAAAUUAACAGACCUGCAAGUCACUGGGAAUAGAGCCCUGCAUACUCUGUGCCUUAACACAAUAAAGCUGCAAGUGUCAAAUGGUGGAAGACGACAAAGGAAGCAUCCCAGCCUCCUAGUUGUGACCCCUUGAUAUUACUUCUUAUUUUAUAAUAAGGUCUGAACUGCAUCUCUGGCCCUGCAUGGAGACGUGACAUUCUAAACUGCUGGGAAGAUUAUAAGAUUACUGUGUAGUGGAAAGCUCUGUGGUAAAGAACAAAGACACACCAUCAUUUUCGCUUAGGAGCUAAUCCAAAUGGUCCUGUCAAUCACCGGAACAGGAAACUGACCCUCAGCCAAGCUAUCUCUUCUGGGAAAUUGGAACACUAUAAAGCUACCUAACAUGGAGGAUGCUAUAGUAGUUCCUUUAGGCAUUGUCUAUACUUACCCCUCAAAAUUUUUUCCUAUACAAUGGUCUCACUGGCAUUCCAUCUUAUGAAGCUGCCUAAAUCAGUUUAGGUAUUAGAAAUUGAAAGUUCCAAAUUUGGGCCAGCAAUGUAUAUUUAGGCUAGUUUUGCAUUGAAAGGUGAAGGAGAGUUACCAGUUUCAAUUCUCCUAAUUGGAGCUCCUUUAAGUUAACCCUCAAACAGGCCAAAGGAGUGUCUUUUGGUUCAGAAAUUUUGGACCCCAUGUUGAAGCUGAGGACCAAGGUACAAGCAAGGAUCAAUGUCCAGUUAUGCAGAGUGUGCUCCACAAAUGAAAAUGACCAGAUCCUCCUGGAAUGCAAAGUGGCACCUUCAGCCUGUACAAUUUCAAGGUUAAAGCUUGAGGAGGGGUGCAAUGAAUGUGUGGUCUCUCUGCCAGUGGAAAAAUCUCCUGUACCUUCAACAUAGUGGGCGAUACAAAAGCUCUAUUGACCCUGAAACCUGUUAUUAGUAGUCUCAUUGACUCAUACAUAAACUAGAGCUGUGUUUAUUCAUGGACAGUAGGUAGUUUGUAAGAAAUACAUGGAUUAAAAUGUUAACUGGGUUGAUUUAUGGCAUUAGAAUCAUCAAGAGCUUGUUCUAUAUCAUCAGUGAUGAUGAGUUGAGUAAAGGAAGCUGGUUUCCAUGGCUUAUGGAUCCCAAGGUAAGCAGAUGCAAAGAAAAAUAAAUCAGAUUGGUCCUCUCAAAGCUCUCUUUCAUGAACACUUAAAGCAGAGAGACAUCCCUAGUGUGUUAGCAAAGCUGACCUGUUCAGGUGUAUGGUUAGUGGCUCUCUCUUGAUUUCUGAGAUCAAGAAAACAAUACAGUUUUGGCAUAGUGAUUGAAGUGGGGCUUCAAUAUGAGAGACAUUUUGUCUUGGAAUAUUGGGCCUAGAGUAGGAGCUCAGUUCAUUGCCAGUGACCUUAGUAACUGUUAUUUAGAGGUAGUCAAUAAGAACUGUAUAUUGUAAGAGGAAUUAAAAAAUUAAAAAAAAAAACAUUUUAAUGAGACAAAGGUUAGAGAGUACCAAAUUCUCCUUGAAUCCCAGUUUAAAUCAUCAAAACCCUUUUUUCCUUUAAUUCUUAUUAAGCUGUUCUUCAUGCUACUUAUUUAUUCUGGGUUGAAAGAUUAGUAUCUGAGCUGUGUCUCUGACCUUGAGUGGAGACAAGACUUUUAUCAAAUGUCCUUAAAAUAAUAAUUAUUACUAUUAUUAUCAUUAUUAUAUUAUUACUUUGUUUAGUGAGGCUUAGGUCUAGACCCAAAGGAAAUCUAAGAAUAUGUGGUAUUCAUUAAGAUAUGGGGGAAAACUCUACCUUAUCAUCAUGAGUUGACAGACUUCAAUAAGACAUUUGAAAGUAUUAUGGGUGCCACAUCAAAUUUGAGAGUCAGGUAUUAAUACUAGGUAAACACUGAAGAUACGGUUCUUACCAAAAAUUGCAUCAUCUCUAAAGGAGUCACAUGGUUGUCUGGACAGAACUGCAUUCUAGUUCCUGCUUCUCUGAGGACUUUAAUUUUAGUGUUUUAUUGCACAAGAAUAGCUAGUUUUCUCUUGAACAUUUGCUGUGGAGUUUUCCUUUGUUGUGUAAAUUUAAUCCUAUUUAAAAAGUCUUUGACUUCAAGGUGUUUCUACAGAAAAGAGUGAAUUCCUCAGAAGCGGGCCGCUCAACUAACAGAUAAUCUAAUCCAGGUUUUUUGCACUAGCAAUACAAUGGUGAGAAAAUAUUCAGGAAAAUUCUCAAGGUUUUAAAACUUAUAACACAGUGUGGAUUUCCCUCUGUGGGAGUCAACCUAAAACUGUGUGUUUUUGCAGGCUUGACUACAGACAGUUGCAAAGGCUAGCAGACCACACAGGGAGAAAACUGCCUUCCUUGUUACAGUGACACUGGAGGCCCAUUAAGAGAAAGCUAUUUCCUCUUGGACUAGAGAAAGGAAUCUACCUCUAGUCUGGGUGGAGACCUGACAUUCCAAGUUGCAGGAAACAGAGUUAAUCCCCUUGGGCUAGUCAAUUACACAGCUAAGGAACCACCCCUUAGGAAGGCCUUAAGCCAUGCUAAAGAAACAAGGGGAACGAUUAUCCUUUAAUGAGAUAAUGUACUUUCCAUUCCAGAAACCCUGCCUUCAGUAGAGUAAUUGAAAGGAAGUCUUGAGAUGCGGUUAAACUUGCCUGCCUUUUGGUGAUCUAAGAAAGGUGUGACUUUUCCUCUUGCUUUACCAGUGUCUCUUUCUUUCAGAUGCUGGUGAGGGCCAGGGUAUGC